CUGCAAAACCCCACAAACCACCGCAGCUUGGUUGGGAUCUCGCCGUCUCUCACCCAUCCUGGACCUAGGACCUAGGACCAGGAUCCAGCUUCCGGUGGGUAGACCUCUCUUAGUCCAGAUAGCAUAGCAGGAACAAGCUCUUACAAGAGCUUAGUGAUUAUAGCAAUCCCCCAGAGUGUAGUUCUCCAAUCCCCCAAACAUGAGCCAAACUUCAUG